rnacentral:rRNA from 1 species
CCUACGGGUGGCAGCAGUGGGGAAUAUUGCACAAUGGGGGCAACCCUGAUGCAGUGACGCCGCGUGAGUGAAGAAGUAUUUCGGUAUGUAAAGCUCUAUCAGCAGGGAAGAAAAUGACGGUACCUGACUAAGAAGCCCCGGCUAACUACGUGCCAGCAGCCGCGGUAAUACGUAGGGGGCAAGCGUUAACCGGAUUUACUGGGUGUAACGGGAGCGUAGGUGGCAUGGUAAGCCAGAAGUGAAAACGCGGGGCUCAACCCCGCGGAUUGCUUUUGGAACUAUCAGGCUGGAGUGCUGGAGGGGUAAGCGGAAUUCCUAGUGUAGCGGUGAAAUGCGUAGAUAUUAGGAGGAACACCGGUGGCGAAGGCGGCUUACUGGACAGAAACUGACACUGAGGCUCGAAAGCGUGGGGAGCAAACAGGAUUAGAUACCCUGGUAGUC